rnacentral:lncRNA from 1 species
AGAGAUUCUCUAGUGGUCAAUGCAUGGACCGCGGUAGCAUGCCUCAUCAUCACUAGAGAAGGCGACUCAAGCAGAGAAGAGAGGAGAACCAAUUCAUAUUUGGACCUGAGUUGGUUGGUAGCCCUACUUGGUGACCAACCACCACACUAGUGAGUUUUUACACUUUUGUUGUUGAGUGAUAAAAGCAAUAAUAACAUAGAUUUAAACUAAUUCUCCAUUAGUUGAGGAGUAGUUUUUGCAUAGAGAGCAGGUUUUACAUAUAUAUUUGACUUUCCGUUGAACGAUUUAUUGUGAAGGUCACUGGCUAAUACAAUAACAAUUAUUUUUCCAUCAUACCAAUUUACAAAAAAAUCCCUCUAUUUUCUUGAAUCAAUCCUAGUCCUGUCACCCUCAC